rnacentral:sRNA from 1 species
AGUGUUUGCAUGUGUGCGAAUGUGUCUCUGUCAAUGUGUGUGUAUGUGUGUACGUGCGUGUGAGGAAGUUACAGUUUAAUGUUGGUUAGUCUCAAUUGUCGACGACGAGGCUUUGCGGCUGAUUGAUGCCAGAGUUGUUGUUGUUGCCAGCUACUUUGGACAAACAAAUCUUGCAGUAUGAACUGGAGAAACAAUUAGAUUUUGAAUUGGAAAAAAGGUAC